GGAUGUGAAUUAGACAAUCUGGUAUGACAUCUGUCACUCCAUCAUCACCAGGAUUGAGUUGGCUGGUCUGACUGUCUAGGUGGCUGUUAGCUUUCUCCUUUCUACUCCAUUUGUGUCCUUCCCAGAAUUGUACUCUUGACGGAAGAGUUUGAUCUUCUCUAUGGAGUAGGAUUGAUCCUUAGUCACGGGUGCAUGAAUAACUGUGCUCCUCUGCUAGAAGCUCCAAACAAGCCCCUCAAAGUAGAACAGGAAGGUUCCAUCCCACUGGGCUACCAAAUGGAACCCCUGUU
rnacentral:snRNA from 1 species